GGUUAAGCGACUAAGCGUACACGGUGGAUGCCCUGGCAGUCAGAGGCGAUGAAGGACGUGCUAAUCUGCGAUAAGCGUCGGUAAGGUGAUAUGAACCGUUAUAACCGGCGAUUUCCGAAUGGGGAAACCCAGUGUGUUUCGACACACUAUCAUUAACUGAAUCCAUAGGUUAAUGAGGCGAACCGGGGAACUGAAACAUCUAAGUACCCCGAGGAAAAGAAAUCAACCGAGAUUCCCCAGUAGCGGCGAGCGAACGGGGAGCAGCCCAGAGCCUGAAUCAGUGUGUGUGUUAGUGGAAGCGUCUGGAAAGGCGCGCGAUACAGGGUGACAGCCCCGUACACAAAAAUGCACAUGCUGUGAGCUCGAUGAGUAGGGCGGGACACGUGGUAUCCUGUCUGAAUAUGGGGGACCAUCCUCCAAGGCUAAAUACUCCUGACUGACCGAUAGUGAACCAGUACCGUGAGGGAAAGGCGAAAAGAACCCCGGCGAGGGAGUGAAAAAGAACCUGAAACCGUGUACGUACAAGCAGUGGGAGCACGCUUAGGCGUGUGACUGCGUACCUUUUGUAUAAUGGGUCAGCGACUUAUAUUCUGUAGCAAGGUUAACCGAAUAGGGAGCCGAAGGGAAACCGAGUCUUAACUGGGCGUUAAGUUGCAGGGUAUAGACCCGAAACCCGGUGAUCUAGCCAUGGGCAGGUUGAAGGUUGGGUAACACUAACUGGAGGACCGAACCGACUAAUGUUGAAAAAUUAGCGGAUGACUUGUGGCUGGGGGUGAAAGGCCAAUCAAACCGGGAGAUAGCUGGUUCUCCCCGAAAGCUAUUUAGGUAGCGCCUCGUGAAUUCAUCUCUGGGGGUAGAGCACUGUUUCGGCAAGGGGUCAUCCCGACUUACCAACCCGAUGCAAACUGCGAAUACCGGAGAAUGUUAUCACGGGAGACACACGGCGGGUGCUAACGUCCGUCGUGAAGAGGGAAACAACCCAGACCGCCAGCUAAGGUCCCAAAGUCAUGGUUAAGUGGGAAACGAUGUGGGAAGGCCCAGACAGCCAGGAUGUUGGCUUAGAAGCAGCCAUCAUUUAAAGAAAGCGUAAUAGCUCACUGGUCGAGUCGGCCUGCGCGGAAGAUGUAACGGGGCUAAACCAUGCACCGAAGCUGCGGCAGCGACGCUUAUGCGUUGUUGGGUAGGGGAGCGUUCUGUAAGCCUGCGAAGGUGUGCUGUGAGGCAUGCUGGAGGUAUCAGAAGUGCGAAUGCUGACAUAAGUAACGAUAAAGCGGGUGAAAAGCCCGCUCGCCGGAAGACCAAGGGUUCCUGUCCAACGUUAAUCGGGGCAGGGUGAGUCGACCCCUAAGGCGAGGCCGAAAGGCGUAGUCGAUGGGAAACAGGUUAAUAUUCCUGUACUUGGUGUUACUGCGAAGGGGGACGGAGAAGGCUAUGUUGGCCGGGCGACGGUUGUCCCGGUUUAAGCGUGUAGGCUGGUUUUCCAGGCAAAUCCGGAAAAUCAAGGCUGAGGCGUGAUGACGAGGCACUACGGUGCUGAAGCAACAAAUGCCCUGCUUCCAGGAAAAGCCUCUAAGCAUCAGGUAACAUCAAAUCGUACCCCAAACCGACACAGGUGGUCAGGUAGAGAAUACCAAGGCGCUUGAGAGAACUCGGGUGAAGGAACUAGGCAAAAUGGUGCCGUAACUUCGGGAGAAGGCACGCUGAUAUGUAGGUGAAGUCCCUUGCGGAUGGAGCUGAAAUCAGUCGAAGAUACCAGCUGGCUGCAACUGUUUAUUAAAAACACAGCACUGUGCAAACACGAAAGUGGACGUAUACGGUGUGACGCCUGCCCGGUGCCGGAAGGUUAAUUGAUGGGGUCAGCGCAAGCGAAGCUCUUGAUCGAAGCCCCGGUAAACGGCGGCCGUAACUAUAACGGUCCUAAGGUAGCGAAAUUCCUUGUCGGGUAAGUUCCGACCUGCACGAAUGGCGUAAUGAUGGCCAGGCUGUCUCCACCCGAGACUCAGUGAAAUUGAACUCGCUGUGAAGAUGCAGUGUACCCGCGGCAAGACGGAAAGACCCCGUGAACCUUUACUAUAGCUUGACACUGAACAUUGAGCCUUGAUGUGUAGGAUAGGUGGGAGGCUUUGAAGUGUGGACGCCAGUCUGCAUGGAGCCGACCUUGAAAUACCACCCUUUAAUGUUUGAUGUUCUAACGUUGACCCGUAAUCCGGGUUGCGGACAGUGUCUGGUGGGUAGUUUGACUGGGGCGGUCUCCUCCUAAAGAGUAACGGAGGAGCACGAAGGUUGGCUAAUCCUGGUCGGACAUCAGGAGGUUAGUGCAAUGGCAUAAGCCAGCUUGACUGCGAGCGUGACGGCGCGAGCAGGUGCGAAAGCAGGUCAUAGUGAUCCGGUGGUUCUGAAUGGAAGGGCCAUCGCUCAACGGAUAAAAGGUACUCCGGGGAUAACAGGCUGAUACCGCCCAAGAGUUCAUAUCGACGGCGGUGUUUGGCACCUCGAUGUCGGCUCAUCACAUCCUGGGGCUGAAGUAGGUCCCAAGGGUAUGGCUGUUCGCCAUUUAAAGUGGUACGCGAGCUGGGUUUAGAACGUCGUGAGACAGUUCGGUCCCUAUCUGCCGUGGGCGCUGGAGAAUUGAGGGGGCUGCUCCUAGUACGAGAGGACCGGAGUGGACGCAUCACUGGUGUUCGGGUUGUCAUGCCAAUGGCACUGCCCGGUAGCUAAAUGCGGAAGAGAUAAGUGCUGAAAGCAUCUAAGCACGAAACUUGCCCCGAGAUGAGUUCUCCCUGACUCCUUGAGAGUCCUGAAGGAACGUUGAAGACGACGACGUUGAUAGGCCGGGUGUGUAAGCGCAGCGAUGCGUUGAGCUAACCGGUACUAAUGAACCGUGAGGCUUAACCUU
rnacentral:rRNA from 1 species